rnacentral:lncRNA from 1 species
UCAUAAUGCUUGGUCUAUAAAAAGGAGGAGCCAAGGAGAUCAGAAACCAGACCAGCCUCAGCUCUUCUAAAACUCCAGGUAGACAGUGUCCGACAUGAGCUGCUACCAGGAAAGGUUUUCCUCGGAGGAUGACUACUGCACCUACGCGUCGAAAAUGGAGAAGAAGACAGACAUGACUAAAGGGCCUCACUUCCCUCAGCUUCACACUGUGAUCAAGCACAAGGAGGUCCAUAUGGAAGAGGACGAGUCACGCCCUGGAAUCUUUGGCCGGCCGAGGCACGAGGAGUGGUCUGAAGAGGAGACCUAUGAAAUGUCUGAGACCACCUACGCAGGCGACAUGGGCAUGAAAGGGGGAGAGCGCAUCAGGCGCAAGGUGUAUAUAUGAGACUAUCAUCUAUAUAUAGUUCUGUGGUGAUGGAUGCCAUGGCUUGGCAUCUUUAUAUAUAGAAUAAAUCUCGGGCUUAUCUGCUGUAUAUCCAUAUGAAUAAUACUAUACUUCUCUAGUACUCAAGCUAUAGCUCUAUACUUUAGCCUACUACAUUCACUCUUGAUAUCUUUAGUACGCGCGUGUUUUCAGGUAAAUUUUUUGAGAAUACUACCCAACUCUUUCCCCCUUCAUUUUGAUAAUAUAAUCGGGAAAGAAGUAGGCUAGUCUCCGCUUUGAAUCCUAAAUAUAUUGGUGCAAGAUCGACCGAUGGCAUUCUAAAAUGUUGAUCCAAGCCACUGAUAAUGAUAUAUAUAACAUGUAAGACAUCCGCAAGAAUCAAGUAUUUUGUAAGUUAUCUAUCUAUUAUGCAUCAAGGGGAUGCAAAUGGACGGCAUGAGUAGUGCUAAUGUGUUAAAAUGCAUGAUAGGGUGUGAGAAAAAUUUUGAAUCCAGUCCAUCGAUUAUGAUCGCUCCAUAGAAAGCAUAUGUCAAAUAAAGUUCAAUAUGUUUGAGCACUUCUAAGUCAUAUGUAAACAUGAACUAGAUCGAACAACAUGUAUGAUGAAACCUUUUUGUUUUUGAAGAUUGUUUAUAAAAGGUUUUUGAGCUUUUGGAAGCAAAGUUUAUAGCUUUCAUAAAAAGAGUGAAAAUAAAAUCAAGGAAUAGUAAAAGUUUUGUGCAGAUGCUACCUCGGACAUCAAUCUGCAUGUAGGAAUAGCCAAAUAGGACCUGCAACUCUGUUUCCUAGGGGAAAAAAAAAAAAGCUGAGAUUUUAGGGACGGUUGCAAAAUGUUGCAGUUCCCGUUUUCUUCAGAUUUUCUAAAGCUGGAACUUUCUCGGUUUUGUUACUUCAAGUUCCUUUCUGAGAACUCAGAAAUUCUAACAUAUUUCUGUAGCAAUUUCCGAAGCUGUUUUAAUGAAGCUGUAACUACUACCUAUCAUUAUGGUUUUUAACUUACAGGCUUGAAGCAUAACGCGCUCCCAGUUGCACCCCUAUUUUAAGUGUCUUUGGAGCAUUUUUCAAGACAAAACGAGAACAUAGGAUAAUUUUUGGCCCAGAUCUUGCCACAUAUCGCCGCAAGUGUUGGCUGAUUCUCCUUCUUGAUUAAAGCAGACAAUGCCAGUGAUCAAACACAACAUAAGUUCACGUAUAUAAGCAAUUCACUAAGAUCUACACCAAAGAGGUGCAGUGGCAAAGAAGCAACCAACUCAGAGAACCUUUGGAAGAAGGCUUAGCCCAAAGAAGGCACAAACUUUGCCCUCCCCUGAGGCCAUCCUUUCAGAUCCCUCGGUUCCCACCACCUUCUCUCUCCCUCUCUCCUGCGGACGUGCCGGUGCUGCAGCGCAGAGAGAGACCCUGCAUCAAUGCCAUGCGGAUUCGUGCAAAGCAAACUAACGUUCCCCAUGCCAAAAGCGGAUUACUCUACUGCCUCUAUAUAUAGAUCUCUUGCUUUCUUCUCAGCUCGCCACUCUUUCUUCCACCGAUUCUUCCAGAAUUAAUAUUAGAGCCAUGGCUGUCUUCCGUCGAGCCUAUUUGUUUCGAGAUAUCUUCCGUUGAUGAGUGACUUGCUCGUCUUUCAUGGUCACUUGACGACGUUGGUGCCCUGAAGUCGCGCCAAUGGCAACCUCGCGUUGACGUGGGGGGAAUUAAGCUCGUUUCUAUGGGUGCUCUUCUUGCUUUAUUUUCCGCUUUCUGCUCUCUAACGUAUGGGAAUUGAUUUGUGUGAGGUUGGAAGGGGAUCCAAGUGUAUGGUGAUAUAAUAGCAGCCUUAAAUAUCAGCUUUUUGCUAUUCUAAUAUUGGGUUCGGGUUGUAUCUUCCGUGGGAAAGAAUGAUUCAUCUUUUUUUUCCACGAGGUCAACCAUUGGAUUGUGCAACGGCCACUUUAAGAUCUGUGCAGGUGGAUGAAAAAAAAAAGAGUUUGGUGUGCUUUGGAUCAUUCUUUCACGUGAAAGAUACAACCUAGAUCCUUUGAUAUAUGCACAUUUCCGAAGUGGUCAAAGUGUUUACCAUAAAGAAGAUUGGAGUCUUGAGUGCUCAAAAGAUGUUCGUAGCUAUAAGUGAGGUUGCAUAUUGCACCUAUAAGACUUAUUGAAUGUAUAGUGAUUGUAUGGAGUUCCUCCUCCACCAAGAUGGUCAUGACCUCGCAUUAAGAAUUGGCUGUGUUGUUAUAUUGAAUAAUCAAUAUUAACAAUCCACUUUAAAAAUCAUUGUCAAGGAUAGAGAUGCGAACUUGGUUGAAAUAGCUUAUAAGUGGUCCCUUAACUUGAAAUAAUAGAAUACCUUACUACAAUUUUGUGACAAAAUCCAUGUAUUAAUAAUGAUACCCUUGAUAAGAGGCAUAGUGGUUUAUUGGAUUCAGAUACAAAUAAGGGUCUAGUUGUCCAACAUGAAAUCAACCAUAUGUUACAAUGUUAAUAUUAAAACAUAGAGAUGGUCAGACAUAUGAGACCCACAACCCAGCUAAUUACUUAAAGUUUUAAAAAUAAUUAUUUUGGAAAAAAAUAUUAUUAAGAACAAUGGUAAAUUAUUUUCAAAAGGUUUCAUGUGCAUUGAAAUCCAAUCCAAUCCACCACCAUAAGCUCUCUCACGCGCGCAUAUAUAUAUAUAUAUAUAUAUAUAUAUUCGUUAUAUAUAUAUAUAUAUAUAUAUAUAUAUUCGAAUUUGCCCCUCUUGGUUUCAAGUUAGCAUGUUUUAUAGAAUGGCAAUUUUAGAUGAAGUUUGGUCUAGGACCUCUAGGUAUAGAUGUGUAGGAAUAGAUUUGCACAAUUUGAUGAGUCGGUGAAUAUUUUGGUGUAAUUUGACAUAUUCAAUAUUCUAUUUUGCAUGGUUGCAAUUUUCUGUUUUCAAUUUUCCUUAAAAACUAAAGAAAUUGCCACGGGAAUGGUGUUUGAUAAUCUAUUUUCUUUUUUAGUUUUUUUGAAAACUUUUUCUUAGUUUCUAAAAAUUUAUGCAAGUUUAAAAUUUUGUUUCCAAAAUUUCUAAAAAUCAAACCACUCAUGAUCCUCCACCAUCAUCUUUGUUGCUAUUGCCUCUGUCACCACCUAUCAACCACUAUCCUCUCGCCAACCACAAUCAUCUCCACUAUCACUGCAAUCAGCAUUGCUAACAUUGCUGCCAAAUGCAUUCCAUGCAACCAUUAGAUGUUAGGUUUUUGAUUGAAGGAGGCUUGUUUGAGGAAUCUCUUUUAGAGAUGUAACGUGAAAGAUAAAUGGAGAAUCGACCUUGCGACCUAGAGAGGGGAAUUUCAAAAAAUUCGAUGAAAAGAGAGAAAAAGAAGGGAAUAUAUAUUUGUGGUGUGGUUAACUAAGCUGAUUGAUAUUGAUGGUAUUCGAAUUUGAUAAGACAAGGAUUAGAAUUCUUUCAUAUGAAGUAUGCGAAUGAAGAACUGGUGGUCUAGAUCAUUGAGGAAUGAGAAUAAGAAAGCGAGCAAUGAAGAUAGGAGGUGGGUCCUAAAAUUUAAAGGGGCAAGGAGGCUGCACUGGAACUAUUUGGAAAUCCCAAGAACAUUUAAUUUCUCAGGAUGGCCAUGGCCCUUGCCCCCUCCCCUGCCGGUUCCAGCAUUCACAAACUGAUGCAUUCUUUUAGUCUUCUAAAUCUACUUCAUAUAGUUUCUAGGAGCUUGGGUUGUCUCUAUGGUUCAUAAACCUUACAAGAAUGUUUACCUUCUGAUGUCAGCAUAUGAUAUAUAACGAUGACAAGUGCCUCUACCUGUGGGUCGAUGAAGAAUGGUAUGAUCAAUUCAGGUUUCCAAGCACAGAAGAACGGUACAAAGAUAGCAGCAGCAAGACAUUCAAACAUUGUUGAUCUCAGAAAACCAUGUUGCCCAUGCUGUAACGCAGCACUGGUUUGUAAGCUAGGAAAUGAUCAAGGAAUAGGAUGGACUCCAAUGGACACAGGCCUAUGUGAACUUGGAGAGGAGCACUGUACUAGUAAAGUGAAUGCAACUCAGCUAUGGUGCUCAUAUUCUGCCCCUAUGUAAAUUUCAAACUUCUCUCUUUUUCUUCUUGGGAAAUAUCGAACCUAUUCAACCAUCUGAUGGUGAUUACAAACAUUUUAAACUAACUUUUUCCAGAGCAAUUCCAAACGGUGGAGAAAUUGUUUGCAUAUGAUGAGGUAUGGGAUCACAAAGUAAUAUAAUUAUUGUCGAGUAUAUCUUUGAGUUUACGGGCUCUAGAAAGGCAAAAAAAAUCUUUUCCCCCAUGAGAGAAGCAAGUGGUGCAGAGUGCAAAGAGCGAAGCAAGCAUUAGCAUCCUUGUUUUAUUUGGGCCGCACAGGAUGAGAUAAAUUUAUUUAUAUAUUGUUCUAGAAACCGACAUUAGCAUCAGUGGGUGCUUCCAAUACCACCCAAAGCUACUGCAUCAAGGUUCAAAUUCAUGCAAUAACACUAGCCGCCUGACGCAGACAGAAGUUAGAGGAUUAGAUGCGCUUCUUAUCUUUUUUCUUUUUUUUUGGUACAGAUGCACUUCUUAUCUUCAAGGAAUAAAUAUCAUAAGGCUUGGUCUAUAAAAAGGAGGAGCCAAGGAGCUCAGAAACCAGACCAGCCUCAGCUCUUCUAAAACUCCAGGUAGACAGUGUCCAACAUGAGCUGCACCUACGAGUCGAAAAUGGAGAAGACAAGCAUGACUGAAGGGCCUCACUCCCCUCAGCUUCACACUGUGAUCAAGCACAAGGAGGUCCAUGAGGAAGAGGAGAAGCCACGCCACGGAAUCUUCGGCCGGCCAAGGAACAAGGAGUGGUCUGAAGAGGAGACCUAUGAAAUCUCUGAGACAACCUACGCAGGCGACAUGGGCAUGCAAGGAGGAGAGUGCAUCAGGCGCAAGGAGUAUAUAUGAGACCAUACAUCAAGGCAGCUUGAGAGCAUCAUCUAUCUAUAGUUCUGUGAUGAUGGAUGCCAUGGCUUGGCAUCUUUAUAUAUAGAAUAAAUCUCUGGCUUAUCUACUGUAUAUCCAUAUGAAUAAUACUAUACUUCUCUAGUACUCAAGGUAUAGCUCUAUACUUUAGCCUACUACAUUCACUCUUGAUAUCUUUAGUACGCGCGUGUUUUCAGGUAGAUUUUUUGAGAAUACUACACCAACUCUUUCCCCCUUCAUUUUGAUAAUAUAAUCGGGAAAGAAGUAGGCUAGUCUCCGCUUUGAAUCCUAAAUAUAUUGGUGCAAGAUCGACCGAUGGCAUUCUAAAAUGUUGAUCCAAGCCACUGAUAAUGAUAUAUAUAACAUGCAAGACAUCCGCAAGAAUCAAGUAUUUUGUAAGUUUUCUAUCUAUUAUGCAUCAAGAGGAUGCAACUGGACGGCAUGAGUAGUGCUAAUGUGUUAAAAUGCAUGAUAGGGUGUGAGAAAAAUUUUGAAUCCAGUCCGUCGAUUAUGAUCGCUCCAUAGAAAGCAUAUGUGAAAUAAAGUUCAAUAUGUUUGCUUCUAAGUCACAUGAAAACAUGAACUCGAUCCAACAACAUGUGUGAUGAAACCUUUUUGUUUUUGAAGAUUGUUUGUAAAAGUUUUUGAGCUUUUGGAAGCAAAGUUUAUAGCUUUCAUAGAAGGAGUGAAAAUAAAGCAAGGAAUAGAAAAAGUUUUGUACAGAUGCCACCUUGGACAUCAAUCUGCAUGUGGUAUUUCAC